rnacentral:lncRNA from 1 species
CUGGGGAUGGUUGAGUUUUGGCUUUUGAAACCAUUGUUUGAGUGUUUUUUUCAUCAACAUCAUUUGUAUCCUUUUGACUGUGGGUUUUCUACUAUGGGUUUUGGGAUCAAUGUACAGUUAAGAUAAUCGCAGUGAGGAAGUUUGCAAGUCAGCCAUGGAAACUUUUAUUUUAGUAGGAAUGAUGUUUACGAAGGGCUUCUGGGGCAGAGGCCAGAACUGUGUGUUGUUUGCCGAGCAAUGAGCGUGAAUUGGUGUAGUUGCUUUGGAUUCGUUACAUGAGAGAGGCAGCAAUCUCACCACAGUGCUAGUAUUAUUUGAGGAAUUAAAUCAAGCCAGUCUUUGUCCACUAUGCUCUAAGAUCAUCAAAUUUCUUAGGUUCCCUAGACAACAUUGGUCUAUGGUGUUUGUGGUGAGCUCAGGUCCAUUGAUCACAUGGUCCAGAUUUGCUAUUUCUUGGCUUGUGAACAACAUGGUUUUUGGUUCAUGUGAUUCGCUUUAAUUUCACUAAUUACCUGAAUUAAAGAGUAGUAGAUCAUAAAUGCCACAUAGUGU